rnacentral:piRNA from 1 species
UGACAGCUGGGAGGGUUUCUCGGUCUGGA